UACGAAGGGGGCUAGCGUUGUUCGGAUUUACUGGGCGUAAAGCGCACGUAGGCGGAUCGUUAAGUCAGGGGUGAAAUCCUGGAGCUCAACUCUGGAACUGCCUUUGAUACUGGGUAUCUUGAGUAUGGAAGAGGUAAGUGGAAUUGCGAGUGUAGAGGUGAAAUUCGUAGAUAUUCGCAGGAACACCAGUGGCGAAGGCGGCUUACUGGUCCAUAACUGACGCUGAGGUGCGAAAGCGUGGGGAGCAAACAGGAGU
rnacentral:rRNA from 1 species